rnacentral:tRNA from 1 species
GAGGGUAUAGCUCAGUGGUAGAGUGAAUGCCUAGCAUGCAUGAGGUCCUGGGUUCAAUCCCCAGUACUUAUA